CGCGUGCAGCUCUGGCAGCCGCGUUGCCGGUGCUCUAGGCCCUUGCGCCCGCCCACCGCCAGCCAGGGAUAAUCACCUGCGGGCUGGAAUCCCGCUGCAGGUUCUCACCCUGUCCCAACUCGCCGCGAGACUAGUAACCGUCAGGAAGCACUUUGCCCGGUAGGGAUUUCUGUUUAGUCGUUGUCUUCCAGGAAACAGCUUCCUCAGUUUGGAGUCAGCUCUCCGGCUGCAGAAGCCAGAGACUCAGCAGCGGAGCCGCAGCCUCAGCACCUCCCUCUCAGGCUGCCGCUCAGCAGCGGUCCGGCCUCCUCCCACCCGAGCGCACUUCGGCUUCCCGCCGCGCGGGGUCGGAAGCCUCGCGCUAGCCCCUGCGGUCUCGGGCACCACGCCCUGCGAGGCGGCCGUCUUCUCGCUGGCCCCGUCGCCUGGCCCCUCUGGUGGCCGCCUGCAUGGGCACCUACCGCCGCGCAGCCAGGGCUCUCCUGGCGCGAGCCCGCACCCUGCACCUGCAGGCUGGGAACCUGCUGAGCUGGGGCCGUCUGCAGAGGAAGUGUCUUUCCACGCACAGCGAGGAGGAUGCUGGGGAUGAAACUCAGGGUCUCACACAUGCUAUCCAAGGGCUCCACCACUGAACUACACUGGGACAGUGUGUGCUGAUGCACACAGUUUUCUGAAAAACAUUGUUCAGAGGAUUAAUUCUGCUUCAAGAUUGUAUCCAAAAGACCUUGAAUGAGUGGAGUUCCCAAAUCAGCCUGGAUUUGGUCAGGAUAAGUGGAAAGUGACUGCAGAAAUCCUGCAGGUCAAAAGGGAAGUGAAGUAAGCAGGAAGUUAACUUCCUAAGUUUGGGAGGGAAGUCAAAUAGCCAUCAAACCCCUUGUGGCUGAGUUGCUGAGAUGACAAUCUGAUCCAGCUGAAUUAAGCAUAAAGCAAAAAAAAAUCUGGACUCUGCAGGCAACUCUUCACCUAGACAAGAUGAUGGGAUUCUCAUGCUGAAUUCCCACUAGUUUCUUCACCAGUAGUGUCUUCUUUCUAUUGAUAUUGGUCUGGUAGAAGAAUGAUUAUCAGUCAGCUUUGAUUGGUAGAUUACUUAGAUAGAAUAUCCCCUCCAAUAAUAUAGUCCCUAGAAAUAAUUUCUAUAGUGAACAAUAAGGAACAAUAUUUCAUUAAAUGUCAGUAUAUGAUUAUUAUUGUAAAUGUUAAUAUAAAAGUACCUGUCUAUAACCACCCUGAAAUCCAGAUUCCUUUAAAAGAGUAAAAGAGGAUAUGUGCUGGAAACACUUGUUCCCUUGUUCAUACUGCAGAUUUAUAACUCUGUAGCUACUGUGCAGGCAUUGAUUAAUGUCUUUGAUUUCUGCUUCUCUGAAAUGACCAUUUACCUUAUGUAUGCCUGACUUGUAACUGGAUUCCUGGUAUGUACGAGGUAAUGUAAUGGGCUCGUGAAUCAUGGCAAAGGCCUCACUGUUUUCUUUGUUAAAUCUUGUUCUGUAAAUUAGUGUUUCUUACUGAUAUGUAUUAACAUUUUUAAUCGCUAUCCUUAUAAAUUAUUCAUUAUAAUGCAUUAGAAUGGCCCUUGCUUUUUUAAAACAUUGCACUCAGGGAAAAAAUCGUUUAAAAAUGUUUGUGAUUACAAGACUAAACAUGUAGUCUAGCUAGAUAUUUAUCAAUUGAAUUGAUCUUUUCAAACAACUAGCUUUUUGGUUACAUUGAUUUAUGUUUUUAUCAUUAUUUCUUUUUACUUUGGAUGUAAUUCUCUCUGUUUUCUAGGUUCUCCAUGGUAGAGAGGAUACCAGUAGACAUUACAACAUAUUUAGCACCAUCAUCCAUUUGAUGUUGGUGGGUUCUUGGUCUUGAAAAUGGACGUGGACUUUCCAUUGAUGACAAGCUUUGUGUUCUCAGCCUUAACUGUGUCAUUGAAUUCCCAAUGGGUGUAACAGGUAGGUGUGCAGUUGAGGUCAAUGAAGGGGUCACUGAUGGCAACAACACUUACUUUGCCAGA